GCCGAAAUAGCUCAGUUUGAUAGAGCGUUAGACUGAAGAUCUAAAGGUCCCUAUUUCAAUCGGGUUUCGGCG
rnacentral:tRNA from 1 species